CUUGGUAGGAGCCGUGAAGCGGCGACAUCCCCACCAAAGGUGUGUGUAAACCCUACUCCUGCUACCUGGGGAACUUUCUCCUGGCACAGAAUUCUGAGGUUUGAAUGACAUGCACUUAGAAUUACUGGGCGUGCACAUUGGACGCUGGGCGGCCCCAGGUCUGGACAAGGCAUCAGCAUGGUGCGGCCACAUGAGGCAGCCGGGCCGGAGCCUGGAGCCGCCGCUUCACAUCCACAGAGGAUGAGGGUGCCGAGCUGGAGCGGUGGACGGGGUGCAGAUGGGGCAGCUGUCGCUCUCUGGCAUUCUGGUUGUAUCCUACCAGAGGAGGGACGCCCACCAGCGCCGGUGUCAGCUGCCAUCUGCCUGUGCAGUUGCAGCGGGCCCAGGGCGGAGCGUCGGGAGGCGGCGGAACAUGUCCCUGUCCCUGGUGCUUGCGGGGGCCGGGCUGGCACGGGCCGGAAUGCAUGGGUCAGGGCGCCACCCACUUCCUGGGUCUGCUCCACCGGGGCCCUGGACCCCCACGGGCUCCCGCAGUCUCCAGUCCCCCCAUCGUUCGCCCUCUGGUGGCCGGAGUGUGCAGUGCACCUGCGCAAGCUCUAGGCUGCUGCCGGUUUAGGCCGGUUUCAUCCUUUUCCUGCCAAUGCCUUUUUUUUUUUUUUUUUUUUUUUGUCUUUUUUUUAGGACCGCACCCCGGGGCAUAUGGAAGUUCCCAGGGCAGGGGUCGAAUCAGUCCCCGGGGCCUCCCUUCCCUCCGGUCGAGGGUCCUGGGUGAGUGUGUCUGGCACACAGAGGGUCUUUACCAGCCGACCCCACCCACUAAGAUGCCGGAGGCCCUGGGCCCCUGGGGGCUGAUGGCUGCGCUGUUUCUGGAAUUGCGGGGUGGGGGGUGUGUCUGCCCCAGAUCCUCUAGUUCUGGGUGGGCAGAGAAGUCCCCUCCUCCACUGGGUCCCCAGCCCUCUGGCUGCUUCCCGGGGGACCAGAGGAGCUGGCCGUGUUUCCUCCGUUGCCCGGGCUGGCGGGACGCCCAGGCCUGCAGCGCCACUGACGCACAGCGUGGCUCCCGGCCCUGUCACGUGACACCCACACCAAACACAGAAGAUGCCUGCACACAGCACACACGGGCACCCGCACACGCUCCCUCAGCUGCCCUGUGUGCCAGGAGGCCCCCCUCGGCAUGGGUGACCUCUGGGCUACCCAGGGAAGUGAGGCACCCCCCACCCCCACCCAUGACAGAGGGGCAGGUGGACUGGGCCGGGGGCUCUUGUCCCUGGUUGAACAGCAGGUCCAACACGACAGCUUUCCCAAGGGGGCCACUGUGCAGGCCUGUGCCCAUGGACCUCCCACAGUCCGAGGGAAAGGUAGGAUCCAAAGCCAUCCGUCACCAGGAGUGAAAACGAGUCUGGGUGCCAGGAAGAAGAUGGAGAGCCACGGGACACGCAAGGACACGUGCAUUCAGGGCCGCGCCACACGUCAGGGCCAGCACGGACCAGCCGCCGUCAAGGCCGAGGCCACGACUGAGGGCAGGCUGGAGCUAAAGCUGAGGCCCGUCGAGCCAAAUGCCUGGCUGGCCGGGCAGACCUCCGGGUGCUGUGCCGUCAUGACAGGCCCCCAGAACAGUUUGGGGCCACCGUGCGGAUCAGGCCUGUUGCUGCCGUGGCCCAUAGCUUUUCCCCUUGGUCACCCGUCACGCUGCACUGCAGGCCAUCAACGCAGGGCGGGACCAGAGACGUGGCCGUGGGUGUGCAUGUGUAUUUGUGUGUUUCAUGAAUUGUUUAUUGUGAUGAAAUAGACACUUUAUAAAAUCGGCGAUUUUAACCGUUUUAAAUGUUCUGUUCUGUGGCAGCAAACGUAGAGACGUGUUCUGCGCAGCUGCCACCGCCGUCCGGCCCCAGAACCUCUCCUGCUUCCCACGUGGAAACGCUGUACUCGGGAAGCCCAGGUUCCCCGCCUCCCCCUCAGCCUCUGGAAAGCGCUGCUCUGUGCUCUGCCUCUGGAUCUGGCCCCUCUAGGGCCUCGUUUGUGGAACCGUGUAACGUGUUUCCUCUUUGGCUUAUUUCCAGGAGCGUGUCUGCGAGAUCUGGAUUCUGCCAUCCUGCACCGUGUGUCAGCAUGUCCUUUCUUUUCCUUCUUUCUUUCUUUUUUACUCAAUGAAUUUUAUUACAUUUAUAGGUGCACACCAAUCAUCGCAAGCCAAUGUUAUAGGAUUUCUAUCCCACAACCCCAGUUCAUCCACCCACCCCCAAACUGUCUCCUUUGGAAGCCAUGAGUUUUUCAAAGUCUGUAAGUCAGUUUCUGUUCUGCAAACAAGUUCAUUCCGUCCUCUUUUCAGGUUCCACCUGUCAGUGAAAGCUUUGAUGUUGGUGUCUCACUGUCUGACUGACUCCACUUAGCAAGAUAAUUUCUGGGUCCAUCCGUGUUGCUGCAAAUGCCACACUUUCGUUCCUUUUUAUGGCUGAGUCACAUUCCAUGGUGUGUAUGGACCACCUCUUCUGGGUCCACUCCUCUGUCGAUGGGCACUGAGGUGGCUUCCAUGUCUGGGCCAUUGCAAAUAGUGCUGCAGUGAACAUCGGAGUGCGUGUGUCUUUGCGAGUCGUGGUUUUCUCUGGGUAGAUGCCCAGGAGUGGGACUGCUGGAUUGAAUGGCCAUUCUGUUUUGAGUUUUCGGAGGACUCUCCAUACUGUUUCCCACAGUGGUUGCACCAAUUUACAGUCCCCCCAGCAGUGUCCUGGGGUUCCCUUUUCUCCACACCCUCUGCAGCACUUACUGGUCGGAGACUUUUGGAUGAUGGCCGUUCUGGCUGGUGUAAGGUGGUACCUCAGCGUGGUUUUGAUGUGCAUUUCUCUAAGAAUGAGUGACGUGGAAGAUCUUUUCAUGGGUUUCUCGGCCACCUUAUGUCUUCUUUGGAGAAGUGUCUGUUUAGAUCUUCUGCCCAUUUUUGGAUGGGGUUGUUUGUUUUUUUGGUAUUGAGCUGUCUGUGGGAGGUGUUUAUAAAUUUUGGAGAUUAAUCCCUGGUCAGUUGGUUCACUUGCAAAGAUUUUCUCCCAUUCUGUGGGUUGUCUUUUCGUUUUGUUUAGGGUUUCCUUUGCUGUGCAGAAACAUUUAAGUUUGAUUAGGUCCCAUUUGUUUAUUUUU
rnacentral:lncRNA from 1 species